rnacentral:snRNA from 1 species
GUGCUCACAUGGGCAGCACGUGUCCUACAAUUGAAACAAUACAGAGAAGAUUCGCGUGGCCCCUGUGCAAGAAAAAAAAAAAAAAGGUUCCCUCUUCUU